AGUUUGAUUCUGGCUCAGGAUGAACGCUAGCGGCAGGCUUAACACAUGCAAGUCGAGGGGCAGCGCGGAUAGCAAUAUCUGGCGGCGACCGGCGAAAGGGUGCGUAACGCGUGAGCAACUUGCCCGUAUCUGGGGGAUAAGCGGUGGAAACGCCGUCUAAUACCCCAUAACAACAGAGGCCGCAUGACCUUUGUUUGAAAGCUUCGGUGGAUACGGAUAGGCUCGCGAGACAUUAGCUGGUUGGUGAGGUAACGGCUCACCAAGGCUACGAUGUCUAGGGGUUCUGAGAGGAAGGUCCCCCACAUUGGAACUGAGACACGGUCCAAACUCCUACGGGAGGCAGCAGUGAGGAAUAUUGGUCAAUGGACGGAAGUCUGAACCAGCCAUGCCGCGUGCAGGAUUUAAACGGCCCUAUGGGUCGUAAACUGCUUUUGUGGUGGAGCAAUAAGACGUACGUGUACGUCGAUGAGAGUACAUCACGAAUAAGCAUCGGCUAACUCCGUGCCAGCCGCCGC
rnacentral:rRNA from 1 species